UGACAGUGCAUCAUCGAUUCUAUUCUUGUCCUUGUUUUUGUAUUUUCUUUCUUGCAUUAUAAGAAGAAAUUAACUCCAGCACGCUUUUAGAGAUAAUGGUUUUGUAGUGUCGUGCUUUAUUGGGUACAAUUGACAAAAAACCCUAAUACAAUAAUAUAAUAAGCAAAUCCCUAUGUUUUUUUAUGAAUCAAAAAAAAAUUCAGAUUUAUUUAAUCUGGUGUUCUUUGACUUUGAUUGCAAUAUUUUUCAAGGAAUGUAGUUGUUUUGUGUUUACAAAGUAGCAAUAUUGUUUUUGGGUCAAUUUCAACUCAUUAUGCUGCUGUCUUGCCAUAUUUUAUCUGAUUUUCAGUUAUUUUUACAAUAUAUACAUUAUUAUGAAUCAAUAUUUUACAAUUAUGUUUGCUUUUUUAUGUGGUUGUAUUGCUUUUAGUGUUUUUAGGUACAAAUUUAUUUUAGUUUUAAAGUAUAUAAUUAUAUAUGUACUGUCUUUUGGAGGCUAUAAGUUUUCUGUUUUGUAAAACCAUAUAAUGGGCAUUAACAUUUCUCUCAAACCAUAUCUUUGAUUGUAUUACUAGUAUGCAUAUGUAUUUAUGAAUAUAAUAAUGAAUCUUUUAUAUUUUGGAUGUUAAUGACUACAAUACAAAAUUAUUUCAAAACAUUUUCACUAUGCUGUUAGAAGGGAAUGAAAAUUAUCAGCAAACAAAAAUUGUCACAGACAAACUUAUAGUCUUUUGCAUGCCAAUGUUACCACUAUUUUUAUUAGAUUAGCUAGUCAUCCUAUUUUACUCUACUAGUCUUUUAUUUUCAUCCAGUAACUAUUUGUACACUUUUAACUAUUAUUUUGAUUGUUGUGUUGGUUAAUAGUUCUCUGUAUGAUUUACAACUACUGCAGCAAAACUCUUGUUUGUAAAUAUAUGUGUCAGCCAUAUCGAAGACAAUGUAGCUUUUAUACAAAUAUCAUAACGCAUGAGUAUCCCAUGUGUUUAAAGUCUAAGAAAAAAAAUUAAGUCUUCUGUAUUAAAAGUUGGAUUAGAACUUUUUAUGUUUCUACAGUGUGUCAUGAAUACCUAAUAAAUCAUUCAAGAAGUUGUAGACUGGUCGCCUAUUUUACCUGAAUUCAUAGUUACCAAGAUAAAGUUGUUGUGGAUUGUAAAUUAAUAGACAUGCGACAACUGGCCGACAAGUGGAAAUUUCAGUCAUUUGUUUGCCCAGCGAACAAUGAUUUUUUUUUCAAAAUGAUUAUAAAUGCAAGGCACUUCUGUUAUCAUAAGCUUUGCUGUGCAGUUCAGUUCUUUUGGUUGGUUUAUAAAAAUUGUAUUUGUGAAUGUUUAAAAAUAAAGUGCUAUAAUUUCU
rnacentral:misc_RNA from 1 species